rnacentral:rRNA from 1 species
UCGGGGUAGUCAGUUGGUUAUUAUGUCUCCACUAAUAAGCAGAGAGGAGUAAAAUCUUUGAAGUAAGUUAUGUGGGUCAAGGUAUAAUGAUUAAUUGGAGUUCUAGUUCAUUUACUUUGAGAAAAUUAGAGUGUUUUAAAGCAGCCUCUUGGGGCACUGAAUACAUUAGCAUGGGAUAAUAAAAUAGGAUCUUCACAAUAUAUUUUAUUGGUUUAAAUUGGAUAUGAAGAUAAUGAUUAAUAGGGACAGUUGGGGGUAUUCAUAUUGGGUGGUUAGCGGUGAAAUGCUCGGAUCCAUUCAAGAUGAACUAAAGCGAAAGCAUUUACCAAGGAUGUUUUCAUUAAUCAAGAACGAAAGUUAAGGGGAUCGAAGACGAUUAGAUACCGUCGUAGUCUUAACUAUAAACUAUGCCGACCAGGG